ACUAAAGGCGAGGCAACAGAGGCGGGUUCAGAAGAGAAAUUGGAUAAGGACAGUAAGGAGGCAUUGCAAGUUCAUCUAGCCUCUGGUUCCCAGUGGCCAGAAAAUUCUCAGAAGAUUGAAAACAAGGGGAAGGGAAAGAAAAAGCCUAAGAGAAAGAACAAGCGAAAUGAAUUCUGGCAACAGGAAGAUGCAGAUGAUGAAAAGAGCAUUUUGUUGAAUGCCCCAGCAGUUGAGCAGAAUAGGAGUACUAAAGGCAAGGCAACAGAGGCGGGAUCAGAAGAGAAAUUGGAUAAGGACAGUAAGGAGGCAUUGCAAGUUCAUCUAGCCUCUGAUUCCCAGUGGCCAGAAAAUUCUCAGAAGAUUGAAAACAAGGGGAAGGGAAA